GAUGAACGCUGGCGGCGUGCCUAAUACAUGCAAGUCGAGCGAACGGACGAGAAGCUUGCUUCUCUGAUGUUAGCGGCGGACGGGUGAGUAACACGUGGAUAACCUACCUAUAAGACUGGGAUAACUUCGGGAAACCGGAGCUAAUACCGGAUAAUAUUUUGAACCGCAUGGUUCAAAAGUGAAAGACGGUCUUGCUGUCACUUAUAGAUGGAUCCGCGCCGCAUUAGCUAGUUGGUAAGGUAACGGCUUACCAAGGCAACGAUGCAUAGCCGACCUGAGAGGGUGAUCGGCCACACUGGAACUGAGACACGGUCCAGACUCCUACGGGAGGCAGCAGUAGGGAAUCUUCCGCAAAGGGCGAAAGCCUGACGGAGCAACGCCGCGUGAGUGAUGAAGGUCUUCGGAUCGUAAAACUCUGUUAUUAGGGAAGAACAUAUGUGUAAGUAACUGUGCACAUCUUGACGGUACCUAAUCAGAAAGCCACGGCUAACUACGUG
rnacentral:rRNA from 1 species